AUAACAUCUAGGUAAAUAAGAGACUAUGACUGUUGCUUAACAUAUCAUUCAUUCAUUAUCGCCAUUAUUCUGUGCUCCUCUGUCUCCUGAAUUCAUGCAAAGUCUUCAUAGAAUCAUAGAAUCACUAAGGUUGAAAAAGACCCACAGGAUCAUCCAGUACAACUAUUCGUUUGCCCUUCACCAGUGGUUCUCACUAAACCAUGUCCCUCAACACAACAGCCAAAUGUUCCUUGAACACCACCAGGCUCAGUGACUCCACCACCUCUCUGGGCAGCCCAUUCCAGUGCCUGACCACCCUUUCAGAGAAGUAGUAUUUCCUAACGUCCAGCCUGAACCUUCCCUGGCGCAGCUUGAAGCCAUUCCCUCUAGUCCUAUCACUAGUCACAUGAGAGAAGAGGUUGACCCCCAGCUCACUACAACCUCCCUUCAGGUAGUUAUAGAGAGCAAUAAGGUCUCCCCUGAGCCUCCUCUUCUCCAGACUAAACAAUCCCAGCUCCUUCAGCCGCUCCUCAUAAGGCCUGUGCUCCAGACCCCUCACCAGCUUUGUUGCCCUCCUCUGGACACGCUCCAGGGCCUUGAUGUCUUUUUUACAGUGAGGGGCCCAAAACUGGACACAGUACUUGAGUUGCAGCCUCACCAGUGCUGAGUACAGGGGGAUAAUUACUUCCCUGUUUCUGCUGGCAACACUAUUUCUGAUACAAGCCAGGAUGCCAUUGGCCUUCUUGGCCACCUGGGCACACUGCUGGCUCAUGUUCAGUCUAGCGUCAGUCAACACCCCCAGGUCCAUUUCCUCUACACAGUCUUCCAGCCACUCUGCCCCAAGCCUGUAGCGUUGCCUGGGGUUAUUGUGGCCAAAGUGCAGGACCCAGCAUUUGGUCUUGUCGAAUCCCAUCUCAUUGGCUUCAGCCCAGCUAUCAGCCUAUCCAGAUCCCUCUGUAGGGCCUCGCUACCCUCAGGCAGAUUGACACUUCCAGCCAACUUGGUGUCAUCUGCAAACUUACUGAGGGUACACUCAAUGCCCUCAUCCAGGUCAUCAAUAAAGAUAUUGAAGAGGACAUGCCCCAGCACCGACCCUUGGGAAGCACUACUCAUGACCAGUUGCCAGCUGGAUUUAACUCCAUUCACCACCACGCUCUGGGCCCAGCCCUCCAGCCACUUCCUUACCCAGCCAAGAGUGUACCUGUCCA
rnacentral:lncRNA from 1 species